UACGGGGGGGGCAAGCGUUGUUCGGAAUUACUGGGCGUAAAGGGCGCGUAGGCGGCAUAUUAAGUCAGCUGUGAAAUCUCCGAGCUUAACUCGGAACUGUCAGCUGAUACUGAUGUGCUAGAGUGCAGAAGGGGCAAUCGGAAUUCUUGGUGUAGCGGUGAAAUGCGUAGAUAUCAAGAGGAACACCUGAGGUGAAGACGGGUUGCUGGGCUGACACUGACGCUGAUAGCGCGAAAGCCAGGGGAGCAAACAGG
rnacentral:rRNA from 1 species